CGGCUACCACUUCCAAGGAAGGCAGCAGGCGCGCAACUUACCCUAAUCUCGAUUCGAGGAGGUAGUGACAAGAAAUACCGAUGCGGGACCCUACGGGUGCCGCGUUCGGAAUGAGUACGAUUCGAACCACCUAACGAGGAACGAUCGGAGGGCAAGUCUGGUGCCAGCAGCCGCGGUAAUUCCAGCUCCAAUAGCGUACGUUAAAGUUGCUGCAGUUAAAAAGCUCGUAGUUGAACGUUCGGGUUCCGCGGGACGGGGCCGCCCCGCGAGGGACGGCGCCGCCCCGGGGCUCGUGAUAUCUCAUCUCGCCGCCCGUCGCGAGGCGGACGGAGGGAUGGAUGAGGUUACCUGGAAAAAAUCGGGGCGAUCUAGGCGGGCGAACCUCGCCAACGAACGAUCGGACAUGGG
rnacentral:rRNA from 1 species